UUUUGCUAUGUUUUGAUGAUAGUGCUUCACAGCGUAUUUUGGGAAAAGUUAACGUCACGGAAAUUGGGGCCUCGGUAAUAUGCAAGGUUUCUUGCUCGUCAUGGUGUUCUCCGUCUUUCCUUUGCACUUCACCUUUUCUGGCUUACUAAGUCGAAUUAAAAAUCCUUCAUGGUAUCAGAACUGAAAAAAGGUCAAGCUCACACGACCAGUUUUAAUUCUCCAUGCCAAACUUUGGGAAAUAGCCCACCAUAAUCCAACCUGUAAAUGACGUCCUCCACGCGUUUUGGGAGUACCAAAAUGGCGGCCAACUGGUUUCAAACAAUGCGCUGUCCAGUCUUUUUUUUUUUUUUUUAAUUAAAAGCUCAGUAAAAUUCGUCGCAGCUGCGAUCGCGGAAAACGCCAUUGCUAUCCGUUUGCAUUAAAUUAUGUGUUUAUAAUAACGGCGACGUUCCGAUUUCCGGCAGCAUUUUGGCGGUAUUGUCACUCCGGUGUUAACGUUUCUUAGCGAAGCAUUUUGUUUACUACGACGUUGAUAUCAUUUAUAGACAUACCUACGCGUAAUUUAUCGAAAAGAUGAAGAUCGUGCCAGGGAAAUUGAUAAAAACCGCGGGGUAAAAAAAAAAAAAAAAAAGAUGAGCAUGGCUUGAAAAAAGUGGAACCGUGCAGAUUGCAACGAAAAAAUGGAUCAAUAUGUCUAACCGAAGAACUCAUACGAAAAGUGGACGUUCACGGCAAAGUGCUGUGCACUUAUCCAGCAGCAGAUCCAAACCAGGAAACGCUACUUUGAAAGCCGCCAAAGCGCCGUCGGCGGCCUCCAAGAUGGCGUCCCGGGUCUGGAAGAAGGAACGUGAGGCGACGGGCACACUAGUGUCGGUUUCAGGAAGGUUUGAAAUCGCUGUUAAUGUUAUUUUCACACCAUCUCCUUUUCCUUUCGGCUUGUCCCAACAUGCAUCAAGCUUCCCUGGCAGCUCCGCCCUCAUCCCCCUUCUACCGAUCGGCGAUGAAAGUCGUCCGGAUUUUCACAAAAAGUCCUGAUCCGGCGACUGGAAUGGCCGUACUGACUGCACGACAACGUGGAGCGGUGCAAGCGACCGCCUUAUACGGUCGCCACCUCGCAGCGUGUAACACGCGCGCAACCGCACUCCAAUAUUACUUGAACAUUAAUCUCCUCACAUUCUUCAGUGGAUUGGCCGUCACUAAAUGCGUCUAAGUAACAAUAAUAAUUUAUUCAAACUCAAAAAGUUCUAUUUGAUUGAAAUGUGACUCGAUUGUAGCAAUGUUGGGCCUUGGAGAAUUAAAUUAUGGAGCUUCA